GUGGGAUCCCUCCAUUACUACUCCACAAUAUUCGACUCAUUGGGAGCUUUCUUGCAAAGUGAUGAUUCGAGCAGGCAUAGUGUUGAACAUGGCCUGCUUUACAGAGAAAUCAACAACAUAUUAGCCAUUGGAGGGCCAGCAAGAAAUGGGGAGGAUAAAUUUAAGCAUUGGAGAAGUGAACUAUCAAGAAAUGGAUUCAUGCAAGUGCCAAUGAGUACAAAUGCAAUGGCUCAAGCUCAAUUGAUAUUGAAUAUGUUCCCACCAGUUCAUGGUUAUAGCUUAGUGCAAGGUGAUGGGACAUUAAAGUUAGGGUGGAAGGAUACUAGUUUGUAUACUGCAUCUGCAUGGACUUCUCCAAAUUCUAGAUAGAUAAAUUUGGACUUUAAGAGUUGUAUUGUACGUUUAGAUAGUUUGUCUUUAUCUUUUGUGGUGGUUUAGACUUUAGAACAUGUCAGCUAAUCUGACACUUAAUUUCCUACUACUUCUUUUAUAUAUAUCAUCCUCAACUGCUACAUGUCUGUAGUAACUACUGUUAGCUAGAGUGACUUAACAAAUUGACAAAAUCCUAUCAACAGUAGGGAAUUGCAGGGCUUCACAUAACUAUGCAGGUCACGCUUCAAAUUAUCUUCCUUUGUUUCAAGGAAAACAAAAGAAUGUUUGAGGACUUCUUUCUUGUUCAACCCUCAAUUUAUUUAAUAUUUCGAGGAGAUAUAUAGAUGUCUGUAGGAGCAGCCAAAGGAAGUUUGUAAAUGCUUCCAAGGAUCAUGUUCAGUUGAGCUGGAUCAAUUUCUUGGAUUUGCAACAUAAGAAUUAGAUAACCCAUCAUGAUAAUUAAACAUCAUCUUUGACAACUGUAAGGACCGCCACAAUCACUAGAAAUUUUUCAUUACCAAAAUUGGGAUUCGAGUAUAUUCACUCAUCCAACUGGUGGGUGGAAUUGUCCAUAGUUCAAUUUUUGAGACAUUUGGAUUGGAACCAUAUUUUAUCAACAAUAUUGUUUGACCAAAAAAGUAUUAGACCUUUUUAGUUAAACUAAUAAAUGAUGAAAUGGAGGGUAAAUCUUAGCCAAACAUAAUUAACUCUAGAUCUAAGCAUAUUAAAUAUGAGAAUCAAAAGGGACUUGGCUUACAUAACAUUCUUUGAGAUGAUAAACAUACAUCAAAUAUAAAUGAUAAACUUACAUCUUUGAUAUAUUGUUCUGUACUUGUAAGAGCAAAGAAAGAAAAGAAGGAAAGUUAUCGAUAACUAUGAAAUCUAUCUUUAUUGAUUCAACAAUAAUGAUUACAAAAGGUUGUAACCAAAAUCUGGGCUUUUGGUUUGUCGUUGGAGGUCCCCUCCUAUUGAGAACCAAGAUCUGAGAAUUGUGAAAUCUUGG
rnacentral:lncRNA from 1 species